GCCAGACUCCUACGGGAGGCAGCAGUGGGGGAUAUUGCACAAUGGGGGGAACCCUGAUGCAGCGACGCCGCGUGGGUGAAGGAGCGUUUCGGCGCGUAAAGCCCUCUCGGCAGGGAAGAAGGAGGACGGUACCUGACUAAGAAGCCCCGGCUAACUACGUGCCAGCAGCCGCGGUAAUACGUAGGGGGCAAGCGUUAUCCGGAGUUACUGGGUGUAAAGGGGGCGCAGACGGCAGCGCAAGCCAGGAGUGAAAGCCCGGGGCCCAACCCCGGGACUGCUCUUGGAACUGCGCGGCUGGAGUGCAGGAGGGGCAGGCGGAAUUCCUGGUGUAGCGGUGAAAUGCGUAGAUAUCAGGAGGAACACCGGUGGCGAAGGCGGCCUGCUGGACUGCGACUGACGUUGAGGCCCGAAAGCGUGGGGAGCAAACAGGAUUAGAUACCCCAGUAU
rnacentral:rRNA from 1 species